UACGUAGGCAGCAAGCGUUGUUCGGAGUUACUGGGCGUAAAGGGUGUGUAGGCGGUCUUCUAAGUUUGGUGUGAAAUCGCCCGGCUCAACUGGGCGGGGUCGGCGGAUACGGCCGAGCUGGAGCAAGCUAGGGGGUAAUGGAAUUCCCGGUGUAGUGGUGGAAUGCGUAGAUAUCGGGAGGAACACCAGUGGCGAAGGCGGUUACCUGGAGCUUUGCUGACGCUGAUGCGCGAAAGCGUGGGGAGCGAUCCGG
rnacentral:rRNA from 1 species